rnacentral:misc_RNA from 1 species
GAUGAAGAACGUAGUGAAAUGCGAUAAGUAGUGUGAAUUGCAGAAUUCAGUGAAUCAUCGAAUCUUUGAACGCACAUUGCGCCUUCUAGUAUUCUGGGAGGCAUGCCUGUUUGAGCGCCAUUAAACCUCUCUCAAGUAUGAUUACUUGGAUGUGAAGGAAGAGUACCUUAAACUUAAGGAGUGUUCUCCUUUGAAAUUGAUUAGCAGAUGGUAAUGUUAUUAAAUCCCUGAUGUUGUAAGAAAUAACAGUGGUUUUGUAGACUAUUAUCUAGCUUUAAAUUAUAAUUUUUAUUAUGGUUGACCUCAAAUCAGGUAAGGAUACCCGCUGAACUUAAGCAUAUCAAUAAGCGGAGGA